rnacentral:lncRNA from 1 species
GGUGUUUAGGCUCAUGGCAUAUGAAGAGGCAAUAUAUUUUCAGUGGUAGGCAGCGAGCAAUAUGACGUGGAAUCGAAACUAACAUAACAAGUCUAGAUAUGGGAUCAAGGUCAUGUCAUCUUGCCUGUGAUAUCCUCAGCUUGGAAUGGUUCUGGAUCGUCCUGCGCGUACUCUCCUGACUCCACGUAAUCGGUCUCCGCUCCCGGUGCUACCCAACACAAGAAUGACAGCCAAUGAACAGCAGCACCACAAAAUGCAACAAUCACAUGAUGCAUGAGAUGAUAGUUGAGCAUGCACCAGUAUUUCUAACACUAGCACAAGCAAGUUAAACUACAACGAGUUCCUGGACAGAACUUUGCACUAAACUAUUUGGACAUGCAUGGAAAUGAUAUGGACAGAUGCAUCUCGUAA